UUUGUAACUUGCUGACUCAAAGCGCGCGAACGUGCUCUGUAACGCGUGUCAUCAUAACACGUCUGUUCUGUAAAAUGCACCAUUUGCACUUUAUUGGGUACUGCUGGUGAAGAAAGCUAAGAUUAAUAACUGAUACUGAAGGACAAAAAUGGUUUGGUCAACCAGGAAUUCAGCUUAAAGUUUCUGCUCUUCAGGUAAAGGCACCGCAGCUGGUGCUGGAGAAAGAAAGAGUCAAUCUGACCUGUGAAACCACAUGCAGUCUGACAAAAAUGGACAGGCUUUAAAGAUCCAGAGCGAAACACUUCAGCUUCAGUCAGAGCGCAGUGAUUCUGGCUGUUACAGCUGCGCCGUCAGAGGACAUCAACACCUGCCCUCUCCUGCUGUCAGCAUCACUGUCAUGUUUACAGCUGCGCCGUCAGAGGACAUCAACACCUGCCCUCUCCUGCUGUCAGCAUCACUGUCAUGUAUCCUCCAAAGAGCGUCUCGGUGUCCAUCAGUGCGUCUGGUGAAAUAGUGGAGGGAGAUUCAGUGACUCUGAGCUGCAGCAGUGACUCAAACCCUCCUGCUCUGAUCUUCAGCUGGUUUAAGGAGGAUCAAACCUCAGCUGUUGGAUCUGGACAGAGUUUCAUCAUCUCCAGCUUUAACUCCAGUCACAGUGGACGCUACUAUUGUGAGGCUCAGAAUCAGUAUGGAUCUCAGAGAUCAGCGUCUGUUUCAGUCUCUGUUAAAGGUGCUUGGAAUAUCCUGUAUAUCAUUGGUUUGUAUGCCACUAUUGCAGCUGCAGCUGGAUUUGGGAUCCUGUUUCUCAUCAGAUAAUUUCAGUUCUGAGCGGAGAAUAUUAGAAAGAUAUGGUGACACUGUAAAUUUGUAUAUUUAGCAACAGAUAUUUCAAUGUAAAUAUUUAUCAAAUUGCAGCAAGAAGAGUUUUAGUUUUUUUAAAUGUACUGUAUCAAACUUUGAUUAAAAAAAGUUGCUCAUACUUUAACAACAGGAAGAAGAUAAAAAACAAUGAUUCUCAGGACACUGACAAUCAUUUAAAUGGCUUUCAGGACAUUGAGCAAAAAAAGUGUAUGAUCACUCUAUUGCAGACAUCUGCAGGAAAUGCCUCUGAAUCUGGAAAUGAUGACAAUAUACUCUAUGCUUCUGUCCAGUCUCAAUAAAGACACAAAGAAACCUGAAGAGGAUGAGAUCCAGUACGCCAGCGUUACAGUUCACCAACCUGCUACUGAAGCCAAAUCUACGGCGGGUCAAGAGAAUGAUUUGUCUGUGAUUUACAGCAGCAUCAAAAGAUCUACAUAACUAUGGGAUUGAGUCUUGAAAAAACAUCUAAACCAGGCCAUAAUGAGAAAUAACUUUCUUGCUUUAGUGUUUGCAUUUUAUUUAAUCAUGUUUAUUUAUUUUUUUGAGUGUGCAUUAUUAAACAUCUGCUUUAGUUAAAUGCAUUGCAGCCCUUGUAAACCAAAGCCAACUAAAUAAACAAACCAACACCAAACACAGAGUUUGGUCCAAGUACCAUCUGAUAAUAGGUCCUGUAUAUACAUAUACAUGUAUAUACAUAUGUAUGUGUGUAUAUAUAUAUAUAUAUAUAUAUAUAUAUAUAUAUAUAUAUAUGGGUUGUUGAUGUGACAUGGCAUUUUCACUGUCCCACAAGAUAAAAAUGAAUAUAAUUAAUUGUCGUUAUUUAAAAUGCAGUAAAUCGUUAAACAUUUCCUAUAUCUUAUAUGGACCUGUUGUUAUAAAAACCGCAGUGUUAUUAUAUAUUUUUUUUUAAUUUUCGAGCCAAAUCUCAAAAUUGUCCUAUGGUGUGACUGUCCCAAGCAUGGUUCAGUAAAUUACAACUUUUAUAAAUGAAAAUGAAAAGCAUAAAAAUGUUAAUAAAUACCUCUGGCAUAAUUGUACAAGUGUCUAUUUUAGUAAAUAGCAAUAAUUUGUUUCAUCCAUAUAUUUCUGAAAACAUAGGAAAUUGAUACAUUUUGUCUCUGAAAACCAUGUCCUCUGGUGUGACACCAUAUCCUGAUUUUAAAUUGGCCAAUUCAAGAGAAAACUUAAUUAGUUGAAGGACCCCAUUCAUGGUUGUAUUACAUGGUUGUAGCCCCCUGUGAAGCCCAUGACAUGUGCAGAUGGUCAAUUUUUGUCUCAGAAUUGUUCAAAUAUUUAACUUUUUUGGAACCACUACAGAAGUGUUACGUUUUGUUGUGCUUUGGUGUGACACCCCUAAAUUAUAUUUUUUAAUUAAAAACUGCAUGCUAAACUACAUAAUCAUGGAAAAUUAUGCAAAUGUGUCUUGCUUACCGCUAAUGACAGGUUAGCUUGGAAUAGCAAGGUCAUUAAUUGACAGAAAAAGGCUGAAACCGUCCUAUGGUGUGACAGAAAAUGUCCUCCGGUGUGACGCCUCUACUGUCACACCACAGGACAAUUUGAUUGAAAUGCAAGCAACGGCACUAUAUGCGCGAGCUGUGUGUUUCUGAGCGUGCUUUCUGCAAUUGGGUCGGAUCGAAGCCGGUUCAUAUUCACACCUUAAACAAACCGUACCAGAGUUUGUUUGGAAGCGGACCAAGACCACCUCUUCAGCUGGGUCUCAGUGUGGUUGUUUGGUGCGUACCAGAGUGCGAUUGCUGUAUUCACACCUGCCCAAAAGGUCCACACCAAGAGGGGAAAUGAACUUUAGUUCAUUUCAAUCGAACAAAACAAGACAGGUGUGAACACACCCUAAUAGUUUUUUUUUUUCUUAAUUUUUGAUAUGUCACAUAGGACAA